rnacentral:rRNA from 1 species
UACGUAGGGCGCAAGCGUUGUCCGGAAUUAUUGGGCGUAAAGAGCUCGUAGGUGGCUUGUCGCGUCUGCCGUGAAAGCCCAUGGCUUAACUGUGGACGUGCGGGCGAUACGGGCAGACUGGAGACGAGUAGAGGCAAGCGGAAUUCCGGGUGUAGCGGUGGAAUGCGUAGAGAUCAGGAAGAACAUCGGUGGCGAAGGCGCUCUGCUGGACCAUAACUGACACUCAGGGACGAAAGCUAGGGGAGCGAAUGGG